UUUGCUUUUUCUGUUUUUGAAAUACUUGUAAUCGGGCCUCGACCCGACUUUGUAAACCUUCUUUGAAUGAAAACUUUGAAUGAAAACAUCUUCCGCUUUCCCUCUUGUCUACUUCUUUCAAAUGUAUGGCUGAAUGCCUUAGUGAGUCACUAACUUAUGUAAGUCGCUAACUCUCAUAAGUCGGUAGGACGUUCGGCAACUCGUGCCGCUACGAAGGUGGGGUAAGUCCUGACUUUGGAUCGGCUUCUGAUAGUCAAGGUCGUCAGUCGGGCGCGUCUGUUGAGUCGGGAGCCGACCGAACGUGGCAAAGGUUCGCUAGUCGGGUCUCCCCUAAC
rnacentral:lncRNA from 1 species